GUGCAUGCUGAGUGAUUAAUUAAAAAAUAAUAAUAAUUCACCCAGGGCGAGGCUCGGCCAUUGCACUUCGGUCAUGCUGACCUCUGCGAAUUCCCCAAAUGUGGGAAUCUCGACUGCAUAAUUUCUGGUAGUGGGGGACUGCGUUUGCGCUCUCUCCCC